rnacentral:rRNA from 1 species
UACGUAGGGUGCAAGCGUUGCUCGGAAUUAUUGGGCGUAAAGGGUAGGUAGGUGGUCUCAUUUGUCUGGGGUGAAAGCCUUGAGCUUAACUCAAGAAGUGCCCCAGAAACGGUGAGACUGGAGUCCUGGAGAGGGUCGUGGAAUUCCCGGUGUAGCGGUGAAAUGCGUAGAGAUCGGGAGGAACACCAGAGGCGAAAGCGGCGACCUGGACAGGUACUGACACUCAACUACGAAAGCGUGGGGAGCAAACAGG